GAUGAACGCUAGCGACAGGCUUAAUACAUGCAGGUCGAGGGGCAGCACAGGUAGCAAUACUGGGUGGCGACCGGCAAACGGGUGCGGAACACGUACACAACUUACCUUAGAGUGGGGGAUAGCCCAGGGAAACUUGGAUUAAUACCCCAUAAAACAGGGGGCCCGCAUGGGCAUAUUGUUAAAGAUUUAUCGCUUUAAGAUGGGUGUGCGUAUGAUUAGGUAGUUGGUAGGGUAAAGGCCUACCAAGCCGACGAUCAUUAACUGGUGUGAGAGCACGACCAGUCACACGGGCACUGAGACACGGGCCCGACUCCUACGGGAGGCAGCAGUAAGGAAUAUUGGUCAAUGGACGGAAGUCUGAACCAGCCAUGCCGCGUGAAGGAUGAAGGUCCUCUGGAUUGUAAACUUCUUUUAUAGGGGGCGAAAAAGGGCCAUUCUUGGUCAACUGACGGUACCCUAUGAAUAAGCACCGGCUAACUCCGUGCCAGCCGCCGCAGUAAAAC
rnacentral:rRNA from 1 species